AUUGAACGCUGGCGGCAGGCCUAACACAUGCAAGUCGAGCGAGCGGCGGACGGGUGAGUAAUGUCUGGGAAACUGCCUGACGGAGGGGGAUAACUACUGGAAACGGUAGCUACUACCGCAUACCAUCAGAUGUGCCCAGAUGGGAUUAGCUAGUAGGUGGGGUAACGGCUCACCUAGGCGACGAUCCCUAGCUGGUCUGAGAGGAUGACCAGCCACACUGGAACUGAGACACGGUCCAGACUCCUACGGGAGGAGGCAGUGGGAAAUAUUGCAAAAGGGGUUCAAGCCUGCUGAAGCCAUGCCGCGUGUGUGAAGAAGGCCUUCGGGUUGUAAAGCACUUUCAGCGGGGAGGCGUUACCCGCAGAAGAAGCACCGGCUAACUCCGUGCCAGCCGCCGCGGUAAUAC
rnacentral:rRNA from 1 species